GAUGAAGAACGCAGCGAAAUGCGAUAAGUAGUGUGAAUUGCAGAAUUCAGUGAAUCAUCGAAUCUUUGAACGCACAUUGCGCCCCUUGGUAUCCCGAGGGGCAUGCCUGUUCGAGCGUCAUUUCAACCAUCAAGCCCCAGGCUUGUGUUGGGGACCUGCGGCUGCCGCAGGCCCUGAAAACCAGUGGCGGGCUCGCUGUCACACCGGGCGUAGUAGAUUUUAUCUCGCUCAGGGCGUGCUGCGGGUUCCGGCCGUUAAAAAGCCUUUUUUACCCAAGGUUGACCUCGGAUCAGGUAGGAAGACCCGCUGAACUUAAGCAUAUCAAUAAGCGGAGGA
rnacentral:misc_RNA from 1 species